CUUAUCUUAGUUUAAAACUAGAAUGUGGGUUUUGGGGAUCCUUGGUCUUUAUAAAAGAGGUUUGA
rnacentral:tRNA from 1 species